GACGAACGCUGGCGGCGUGCUUAACACAUGCAAGUUGAACGAGAAUUUUUCGAGUGAUUUCUUCGGAAUGAUCAUGAAAAAGGAAAGUAGCGAGCGGGUGAGUAACACGUGAGAAACCUGCCUUUCACAAAGGGAUAGCCUCGGGAAACCGGGAUUAAUACCUUAUGAAACCAAACACUCGCAUGAGAGAUUGGUUAAAGAUUUAUCGGUGUUAGAUGGUCUCGCGUCUGAUUAGCUAGUUGGUGGGAUAAAAGCCUACCAAGGCAACGAUCAGUAGCCGGAUUGAGAGGUUGAACGGCCACACUGGAACUGAGACACGGUCCAGACUCCUACGGGAGGCAGCAGUGGGGAAUUUUGCACAAUGGAGGAAACUCUGAUGCAGCGACGCCGCGUGAGUGAUGAAGGUCUUCGGAUUGUAAAACUCUGUCCUGAGUGAAGAUAAUGACAGUAACUAAGAAGCAAGCCCUGGCUAAAUACGUG
rnacentral:rRNA from 1 species